rnacentral:rRNA from 1 species
GGUUAAGCGACUAAGCGUACACGGUGGAUGCCCUGGCAGUCAGAGGCGAUGAAGGACGUGCUAAUCUGCGAUAAGCGUCGGUAAGGUGAUAUGAACCGUUAUAACCGGCGAUUUCCGAAUGGGGAAACCCAGUGUGUUUCGACACACUAUCAUUAACUGAAUCCAUAGGUUAAUGAGGCGAACCGGGGGAACUGAAACAUCUAAGUACCCCGAGGAAAAGAAAUCAACCGAGAUUCCCCCAGUAGCGGCGAGCGAACGGGGAGCAGCCCAGAGCCUGAAUCAGUGUGUGUGUUAGUGGAAGCGUCUGGAAAGGCGCGCGAUACAGGGUGACAGCCCCGUACACAAAAAUGCACAUGCUGUGAGCUCGAUGAGUAGGGCGGGACACGUGGUAUCCUGUCUGAAUAUGGGGGGACCAUCCUCCAAGGCUAAAUACUCCUGACUGACCGAUAGUGAACCAGUACCGUGAGGGAAAGGCGAAAAGAACCCCGGCGAGGGGAGUGAAAAAGAACCUGAAACCGUGUACGUAC